UCCGGUGCUUGCGCCGGGGAUUAGUGGCGAACGGGUGAGUAACACGUGAGUAACCUGCCCUUGACUCUGGGAUAAGCCUGGGAAACUGGGUCUAAUACCGGAUAUGACUCCUCAUCGCAUGGUGGGGGGUGGAAAGCUUUUGCGGUUUUGGAUGGACUCGCGGCCUAUCAGCUUGUUGGUGAGGUAAUGGCUUACCAAGGCGACGACGGGUAGCCGGCCUGAGAGGGUGACCGGCCACACUGGGACUGAGACACGGCCCAGACUCCUACGGGAGGCAGCAGUGGGGAAUAUUGCACAAUGGGCGAAAGCCUGAUGCAGCGACGCCGCGUGAGGGAUGACGGCCUUCGGGUUGUAAACCUCUUUCAGUAGGGAAGAAGCGAAAGUGACGGUACCUGCAGAAGAAGCGCCGGCUAACUACGUGCCAGCAGCCGCGGUAAUACGUAGGGCGCAAGCGUUAUCCGGAAUUAUUGGGCGUAAAGAGCUCGUAGGCGGUUUGUCGCGUCUGCCGUGAAAGUCCGGGGCUCAACUCCGGAUCUGCGGUGGGUACGGGCAGACUAGAGUGAUGUAGGGGAGACUGGAAUUCCUGGUGUAGCGGUGAAAUGCGCAGAUAUCAGGAGGAACACCGAUGGCGAAGGCAGGUCUCUGGGCAUUAACUGACGCUGAGGAGCGAAAGCAUGGGGAGCGAACAGGAUUAGAUACCCUGGUAGUCCAUGCCGUAAACGUUGGGCACUAGGUGUGGGGGACAUUCCACGUUUUCCGCGC
rnacentral:rRNA from 1 species